rnacentral:tRNA from 5 species
GCCGGUGUGGCGGAAUAGGCAGACGCGCACGACUCAAAAUCGUGUUCCGUAAGGAGUGCCGGUUCGACCCCGGCCACCGGUACCA